rnacentral:rRNA from 1 species
GAUGAACGCUGGCGGCGUGCUUAACACAUGCAAGUCGAACGGGAAUUACUUUAUUGAAACUUCGGUCGAUUCAAUUUAAUUCUAGUGGCGGACGGGUGAGUAACGCGUGGGUAACCUGCCUUGUACAGGGGGAUAACAGUCAGAAAUGACUGCUAAUACCGCAUAAGCGCACAGGACCGCAUGGUCCGGUGUGAAAAACUCCGGUGGUAUAAGAUGGACCCGCGUUGGAUUAGCUUGUUGGUGGGGUAACGGCCCACCAAGGCGACGAUCCAUAGCCGGCCUGAGAGGGUGAACGGCCACAUUGGGACUGAGACACGGCCCAGACUCCUACGGGAGGCAGCAGUGGGGAAUAUUGCACAAUGGGGGAAACCCUGAUGCAGCGACGCCGCGUGAAGGAAGAAGUAUCUCGGUAUGUAAACUUCUAUCAGCAGGGAAGAAAAUGACGGUACCUGACUAAGAAGCCCCGGCUAACUACGUGCCAGCAGCCGCGGUAAUACGUAGGGGGCAAGCGUUAUCCGGAUUUACUGGGUGUAAAGGGAGCGUAGACGGAUGGACAAGUCUGAUGUGAAAGGCUGGGGCUCAACCCCGGGACUGCAUUGGAAACUGCCCGUCUUGAGUGCCGGAGAGGUAAGCGGAAUUCCUAGUGUAGCGGUGAAAUGCGUAGAUAUUAGGAGGAACACCAGUGGCGAAGGCGGCUUACUGGACGGUAACUGACGUUGAGGCUCGAAAGCGUGGGGAGCAA